rnacentral:rRNA from 1 species
UACGAAGGGGGCUAGCGUUGCUCGGAAUUACUGGGCGUAAAGCGCACGUAGGCGGCUCGUUAAGUCGGUGGUGAAAUCCUGGAGCUCAACUCCAGAACUGCCUUCGAUACUGGCGAGCUUGAGUGCGGGAGAGGUGAGUGGAACUGCGAGUGUAGAGGUGAAAUUCGUAGAUAUUCGCAAGAACACCAGUGGCGAAGGCGGCUCACUGGCCCGAUACUGACGCUGAGGUGCGAAAGCGUGGGGAGCAAACAGG